GCCAGUAGUCAUAUGCUUGUGUCAAAGAUUAAGCCAUGCAUGUCUAAGUAUAAGCAAGUCUAUACAGCGAAACUGCGAAUGGCUCAUUAUAUCAGUUAUAGUUUACACGAUUAGAGUUUUGCUAUUUGGAUACCCGUAGUAAUUCUAGAGCUAAUACAUGCGUAAGGGCCCGACUUUUCGGAAGGGCUGCAUUUGUUAGAUAUAAGCCGACCCCCAUCCGGGGAUUGAGGUGAAUCAUAAUAACUGUGCGAAUCGUUGGCCUUAUGGCUACGAUGGAUCGUUCAAAUAUCUGCCCUAUCAAUUAGAUGGUACAGUAGUGGUCUACCAUGAUGGUAACGGGUAACGGGGAAUCAGGGUUUGAUUCCGGAGAAGGAGCCUGAGAAACGGCUACUACUUCUAUGGAAGGCAGCAGGCGCGCAAAUUAUCCAAUGCUGAUUCAGCGAGAUAGUGACAACGAAUAGCGAGCCUGGUCUCAUUGAGGCUAGGUAUUGCAAUGAGAACAAUUUAAAAACCUUAACGAGGAACAAUUGGAGGGCAAGUCUUGGUGCCAGCAGCCGCGGUAAUUCCAGCUCCAAUAGUGUAUAUUAAAGUUGCUGCAGUUAAAAAGCUCGUAGUCAGAGAUUGAGUGCUUGGGGGCUGAGGCUGUGCGGUUGCUCCGCAAGGGGCACUACUGCGCAUGCCUUUUUUUGGCCUCCACCUCAUUUGUUGGCGCCGAGCCGCGCGUUUCUUCACUGAGGCGCGCGGGUCCUUGGCGUCACUUUUACCUUGAGAAAAUUAGAGUGUUCAAAGCAGGCAGUCGUCGCUUGAAUAGGUUAGCAUGGAAUAAUAAAAGAAGACCUUGGUCUUGUUUUUGUUGGCUUACGGGGCCGAGGUAAUGAUUAAUAGGAGCAGUUGGGGGCACUUGGAUUUGAUGGUUAGAGGUGAAAUUCUUGGAUCCAUUGAAGACAAACUAGUGCGAAAGCAUUUGCCCAGGAUGUGUCCAUUGAUCAAGAACGAAAGUUAAGGGAUCAAAGACGAUUAGAUACCGUCGUAGUCUUAACCAUAAACGAUGCCGACUGGGGAUGGGCGCCCUUUUUAAGGGGGCGUCUGCACCCAAUGAGAAAUCAAAGUGUUUGGGUUCCGGGGGGAGUAUGGUCGCAAGGCUGAAACUUAAAGGAAUUGACGGAAGGGCACCACCAGAAGUGGAGCCUGCGGCUUAAUUUGACUCAACACGGGGAAACUCACCAGGUCCAGACAUAGUGAGGAUUGACAGAAUGAUAGCUCUUUCUUGAUUCUAUGGUAUUGGUGGUGCAUGGCCGUUCUUAGUUCGUGGAUUCAUUUGUCUGGUUAAUUCCGAUAACGGACGAGACCUUUGUUCUUAAAUAGGACCAUUCAUUAUUGUGAUGGGUGGCGCCUUCUUAGGAGGACUGCCUGUGUUAAGCAGGCGGAAGUUAGAGGCAAUAACAGGUCUGUGAUGCCCUUAGAUGUUCUGGGCCGCACGCGCGCUACACUGACGAGGCCACUGAGUAAUUGGCCGAUGUAAUGUCGGCUGUUCCUAUCCUGUGAAGGACGGGUAAUCUGGGUCAACCCUCGUCGUGCUGGGGAUAGUCCUUUGCAAUUUUCGGACUUGAACGAGGAAUUUCUAGUAAUCGCAAGUCAUCAGCUUGCGAUGAUUACGUCCCUGCCCUUUGUACACACCGCCCGUCGCUACUACCGAUUGAAUGGCUUAGUGAGUCCUUUGGAUUCUGCGGGCACGCCUUUGCGGGCUGUCUGCGGGAGAAGUCUGGCAAACUAUGGACAUUUAGAGGAAGUAAAAGUCGUAACAAGGUCAUCGUAGGUGA
rnacentral:rRNA from 1 species